CGACGUGAGUAACCUGCCCUGGAGUGGGGAAUAACAGCUGGAAACAGCUGCUAAUACCGCAUAAUGCAGUUGGGUCGCAUGGCUCUGACUGCCAAAGAUUUAUCGCUCUGGGAUGGACUCGCGUCUGAUUAGCUAGUUGGUGGGGCAACGGCCCACCAAGGCGACGAUCAGUAGCCGGACUGAGAGGUUGGCCGGCCACAUUGGGACUGAGACACGGCCCAGACUCCUACGGAAGGCAGCAG
rnacentral:rRNA from 1 species